AGAGACAAGUGAUGGGAAGAUGUCUGCUCCCAUUACCAGGUGACACUGAAGAGAAAACUUAUGAAGCUGGUGUCAGGGGGAAUGAGGAGCACGAGGAUCAGGAGGCUGGUUACCCAGAAUGUGGCUUCCAGGAGGGCAAGAAAUGAAAAGCCUGCAGCAGGAGCAGCCAGAAUUGUAUCAGCCACUGGGAACAGGAAGAUGGAAUGGCAACAAGGAGACUGUGAGGAGGAGUGGAUGGAGAGUCAUCUGAAUUCUAGUCCUGGCUCUGCCUUUGUGUCAUCGUCAGUCCCCACCAACCCCCAUGGAUUUUUCAUCAGUAAAUGCUGAAAGUGGACAUCGUAAAAAGGAGACCGUUGUUAUUUGGCUAUAUUUAUGCUAAAGCUGAAACUCCAGUACUUUGGCCACCUCAUGCGAAGAGUUGACUCAUUGGAAAAGACUCUGAUGCUGGGAGGGAUUGGGGGCAGGAGGAGAAGGGGACGACAGAGGAUGAGAUGGCUGGAUGGCAUCACCAACUUGAUGGACGUGGGUGAGUUUGAGUGAACUCCGGGAGUUGGUGAUGGACAGGGAGGCCUGGCGUGCUGCAAUUCAUGGGGUUGCAAAGAGUCGGACAUGACUGAGUGACUGAACUGAACUGAUGGGUAAACAUCAUUAUCAAAUUCAAUAUAGAUACUGAAUUUUUAUUUAAUUAAAAAAGUAGGGUUAUCACAUUAAAUUCUUAGACAAACACAAUUAAGAGGUCUGUUUUUUGAAACAGUGGUUG
rnacentral:lncRNA from 1 species